rnacentral:lncRNA from 1 species
UUUUAUCUUCAAUACAUAAUAUAUAUAAAGAGGCAUUGCAGAAGCAUUGGAGGAUAGAGAGUAAAAGAGAAAAAUAUAAACAAAGUCAUUAAGAGAAAAAUUGAAGUGUUCAAUGAUCAACUUUUCUCUCCAAGGUACAAUUUGAUAUCUUUAUAUAUAAAAGAAAGGUUUUACCUCGAAACCCUAACCCCAUUUUAGUGAAAUAUUUGUUGCCCUAAAACGUAUUUUUGUCUAUUUACUUGAAAGUUAUUAUUAUUAAAAAAAUAUUUUUUUGCACAAUUUCUAGAUUACACUACACGAUUACAUAUUAAAGAAAAAACACGAUAAAAUAUAUACCCACAAUGUUAAAACCGCCAAUUUCCAUUUCCAUUGUUCCUCAAUUCUCGCCAUUAUCGGCAUAUAUGUAAGCAUGGUUAGCCAGAACGGCGUGGGAAACGGCCGGAACGGCCGUUCUGAAAGGGGAACGGUGCUCUCCAUUCCGGAAUUCGUAACCAGAACGGUGUUUUCACUGGGAUUCAUCGGUACGCCGAGAAAUCAGAGGGAUGGGCAAGACGGAGCCACGGAAUGGACCCGACACGGCCGGAACGGUGCCGGAACGGCGCCGGAACAGUAGAAAUAAUAUGAAAAAAAUAUAAUUUGACUAAAAAAAAAGGAAAAAAUGACUAAUUUAACUGAAAAAAAUAUGGAAAAAUAAUAUAAUUAACUUUUUUGUAAUGGCUCGUGACUUUUCUAAUGUUCUUGUUUUUACUGUUUGACUUGUUACUUGUGAAUUUUUUCUUGGAUUCUAAUAUUUUGUAUUAUGAUGAAUUUGAUUUUACUAUUGGGUGUUUAUUUUCACAUCAUCACAUGCACUCCUCUAGGCUAUAGCCUUUCACAUCCAUGUCUCCCACAAGCCACAGUUUCACUCAAUAAUAGAACUAAUAAUAAUACAGAUCGUGGAUUGAUAUGAUCAGCUUUUAUCUUCAAUACAUAAUAUAUAUAAAGAGGCAUUGCAGAAGCAUUGGAGGAUAGAGAGUAAAAGAGAAAAAUAUAAACAAAGUCAUUAAGAGAAAAAUUGAAGUGUUCAAUGAUCAACUUUUCUCUCCAAGGUACAAUUUGAUAUCUUUAUAUAUAAAAGAAAGGUUUUACCUCGAAACCCUAACCCCAUUUUAGUGAAAUAUUUGUUGCCCUAAAACGUAUUUUUGUCUAUUUACUUGAAAGUUAUUAUUAUUAAAAAAAUAUUUUUUUGCACAAUUUCUAGAUUACACUACACGAUUACAUAUUAAAGAAAAAACACGAUAAAAUAUAUACCCACAAUGUUAAAACCGCCAAUUUCCGUUUCCAUUGUUCAUCAAUUCUCGCCAUUAUCGGCAUAUAUGUAAGCAUGGUUAGCCGGAACGGCGUGGGAAACGGCCGGAACGGCCGUUCUGAAAGGGGAACAGUGCCCUCCGUUCCGGAAUCCGUAACCAGAACGGUGUUUUCACUGGGAUUCAUCGGAACGCCGAGAAAUCGGAGGGAUGGGCAAGACGGAGCCACGGAAUGGACCCGACACGGCCGGAACGGUGCCGGAACGGCGCUGGAACAGUAGAAAUAAUAUGAAAAAAAAACAUAAUUUGACUAAAAAAAAUAAAAAAUGACUAAUUUGAUUAACUUUUUUGUAAUGGCUCGUGACUUCUCUACUGUUCUUUUUUUUACUGUUUGACUUGUGACUUGUGAAUUAUUUCUUGGAUUCUAAUAUUUUGUAUUAUGAUGAAUAUUAUUUUACUAUUGGGUGCAGAUUUUCACAUCAUCACAUGCACUACUCUAGGCUAUAGCCUUUCACAUCCAUGUCUCCCACAAGCCACAGUUUCACUCUAUAAUAGAACUAAUAGUAAUACAGAUCGUGGAUUGAUAUCAGCUUUUAUCUUCAAUACAAAAUAUAUAUAGAGAGGCAUUGCAGAGGCAUUGGAGGAUCGAGAGUAAAAGAGAAAAAUAUAAACAAAGUCAUGAAGAAAAAAAUUGAAGUGUUCAAUCAUCAACUCUUCUUUCCAAGGUACAAUUUGAUAUGUUUGUUGUUUUUUAAUUUAUAAUUUUAUACGUCGCUAAAAGAUUGUAGUGCAUAAUUUAAUAUUGAUAGUCAUAUUGUUUUCGUAAUUUAUAAUUUAAUAUAGAAUAUUUAUAGUGAUAUAGUUUUCGUAAUUUAAAAUUUAAUAUAGAAUAUAGAUAGUAUGAAGAACGAAUAAUUGUAAUAAUAUUUUGCAUAUUAUUGUAUUGUAAUAUCGUUAUUAAAAACAUAUUUGAAAUAUAUUGUAUUUCUUUAGUAAUUAAAUUAAAAUGUGUCAUUUCCGGUCGCGACGUUGCAAUGGAACUGGAACGGCAAUGUCCGCGACAAUGCAUUGUUCCGUUCCGGCGAACCAUGUAUGUAAGUCUCAGAAUAACUCCCCAUUUUUCCACUCAUAAAAUUUGUUUUCCUAUUCUCUUUAUAUUUCUUCGCCGUUGUCAACGUUGGCUGCAAUUUUAAUACUACAUAAUCGCAAUGAAGAAAUGGUUAGUGAUCUUUCAGUUUUAGAAUUCAUUUUGCGUGCUCUGAAUUCCUAAAUCGAUCAAUGUUUAGAUUUUUGUUUUUGGGUUUUAUGAAAGUUACCCUUUAAUAAUAGGUUUGGAAUAUAUUUUUUUCUUUAUUUUGUUGAAAUUUCAUUUUAACAACGAUGUUUAUCAACAGUCAGUCUCACAUGCUAUAAUUAAAAAAGUAGAUGUAUAAUUCUUCAAAUUUCCGUGGAGUGUUGUAUGAAAACUGUUAAUUAUUAGUUUUGUUUAGUACACUUCUUAGACAACUUUUUAGCAAUUUUAUUUUUUUAAAUGUUCAUGAUAUUUAGGGAAUCAACUGUGACAUGUGGGGAAUCAAUUGAUGAGUAGUUAUUUGUUCUUUCUAUAAGAAAAGGAAUCGAAAUGUUUGAAGUUGUUGCUAUUUUAUUUGGUGUCACUGUAACAUAUGUUUUUCGUACACCAUGGUCAUAUACUCAUUAUUUUCAGCAAAAAAAAAAAAGAAGUUUUACUAUUUUCUCUAAUAUCUGAUGAUAUAUACAAUAAUCAGAAAAUAAGAAAUCUCACAACAAGUAUAUUAAUAUUGUUUUUCUCUGUUUUUUCACAGGUUUACCUGGUGAUGAGAAUGUCUUUUUGCUUCUUUUAACAGUUUUGUUUAGAGUUGUAUUAGUUUUGUAUUUGGAGGUGUUUUAUGAAGAUUGCUGCUAUCUUGAGAAUUUGGGAUGGCAAAAAAGAAAUCAAAAGCAAGAAGAUUCAUCUCUAGACUGCUCCAUUACAGAAACGAUAAUUGGUGCAUUUAGUUGGGUGCUCACAUGAAUUAGUUGCUGAUGAAUCGAACAUGAGGACGAGACAACAUGGUAUUAAUAUUAUACUAUAAUGAUUAAUAACAAAUGUUUUCUGAUUGGCAAUGUAGUUUUCUUUUCUCCACCCCUCUAAGAUUACUACAUUUCCACAUUUUUCUUUGUUAUGUAUAUCUAUUUGCUCUAUCUGUUGAUAUUAGCAAUUCAUUUUGUAUAUUGAUGUUUUUGCUAUAGUCAUGUAUUAAAUUG